AUAUUAUUUAAUAUGUCUUGAGGUCUUAUUCCUAUAAGCCAAUGAGACAAUGGGGCAUAAGCUUCAUUGUAGAGAAGGAAACAACCUGAAUCACUAGCUAAGACCCCUAAAUGACCGCUCAAUGAUAAAGGAGGUAAGGAUGAAGAGACAGCCAUGAGGUUUGACUAGAAGCAGCCACCCUUGAAAGAAUGCUUAAUAGUUUAUUGAUUGAGUGCUCUUGCAUCGAAGAUGAGCGGGGCCAAGUGAUUUGCCAAAGCUAUGGGAUGUAAAAAUGAUCGGUA
rnacentral:ncRNA from 1 species